rnacentral:lncRNA from 10 species
UUAUUAAUUUUGCUACAUUCUUUUUACUUAUUGUUUAAAUUACUAACAUAUAUUAUAUCAGUAUCUGUUCUACAACUCAUUUUAAUUAUUCUACAACAUAAUAUGAAGUUAUAUUUAUUGAGAGCCUGCCAGCUACUACCUACUGUGCUGGGACUGAUUAUAUACUGCUACAGAAAACAGAAAUGGUCCCUGCUGUUGCAGAGUUUUAAUCUAGUAUGAGACACAAUCAGUAAAUGUUGCUUGGGUUUCCUGGAAACAAGCCUCCAAGAUAGACCUUAUUUUACAAGUAGGCUUAUCAAAGGAGUGAAUUGGAGUCAAUACCUGCAGAAGACAGUAAGAAAGCAGGGUUAGGCAGGGACAAAUCAAGUCCUGGUAUUUUAUAGAAAAAAAUUUACUAACCAUGGUUUAAUACCUCUGGUUUACUUUAAAUGUAAUUAUUGGAGAAGUUUGAUUAAUCUGUAAAAGUUGAUAUAUCAAAAAAUAUUAUAAAAUCCAAUCACAAAAUAAAAAUAUAACCACGUCAAUCCUAUGUAACUUCUAUUAGUGUUUUACAAUAUAUUUGUAGGCUGUUUUUUCUAUGCAGUUUAUAUAGUGGAGAUCACUCCAUCAAUCAAUAAAUAUUUACUGGAGUUCUACUAUAUACAAGGAAAUUUUCUAGAACUUGUAGAACAGUGAACAAAACCAAAAAGUUAUUGGUCUCAUGAAAUUUACAAUAUAAAGGAAGAAUUUUCUAGUAUUUUAAUGAUAAUUAAUUUCACAAACUAUCAUUUCUACUAUUUAUUUAGCCAUAACCUUAUUGGAAAUACUACUUGUUUUCAAGUUCUGUUAUUAUGAAGAGCUCUAAGAUUAGAUGUCUUGAAAAUAAAUCUUUUCUUAAUUUUAACUUUCUUAAUGAUGUCUUGUAGAAAAACAUUAAAACUAGAAUUAUAAGUUUAAAGGACUUAGGCAUUUCACACAUUUUAUAAUUGGCAAAUCAAUUUUCAAAACAUUUUUAUGCAGUUAUAUGUGUAUAAUAGAAGCAGUGUUUAAGGGUUAACACACAAAGUCUGUUUAGGACAAACAUCUCAAUAUAAAAAUAACUAGAGAGUUUUUUAAAAUUAUGAUCCUACAGAUAUGACAAAAAAUUGUUUAGAAUAUCUGAUGCCACACUGUAAUAAGACUUAGAUAGACAGAUGAGAGAGAGAGAACAAACGAAAGGAAGAAAGGGGGAAGGAAGAUAGAGAAAGAAAGAAAGAAAAAGGAAGAAGAAAGGAAGGAAGGAAGGAAAGAAAAGGAAAGAAAGAAAAGAAAGGAAAGAAAAAGAAAGAGAGAGAAAGAAAGAAAAGAAAGAAAGAAAGAAAGAAAGAAAGAAAGAAAGAAAGAAAGAAAGAAAGAAAAAGAAAGAUGUACUUAUUCUAUAAUUGAUCCAAAGAGAUAGGCUUUGUGUAUUGGGCCCUAUACUGCUACACUGCAGGCCAAGAUUCAUUAGCACACAAGCCCACUGCACCAAACUCAAAAAGUUGUACACAUCCAAUUAUUUUUAAAAUAGCCAAAAGGAGCAGAUGUUUAGCCAUUUACGCUUUGCAUAAAACAUGGAACUGCACACCAAAUUUGCUAGUUAGCUAUUUUUAGCACUGAGGCCAUUAAAACUCCAAGCCACAACUGUCCUUCAGAGCUCUUUGACUCAGAGACUCCUGCUAUGCUGCUGAACUGUAUCACUUAGACACUUAAGUCCCCUCUCUAAUGCCUCCCUCCCCUGGAGUUCUUUUGCCCUCCUUCUCCACUAAGCAGCCUCUUUACCAACUUCUGCGUGAGUAACUUCUCCUGCAAGCAAUGUCAAAGUAGCACCCAAUGAGGCUUGCUUGUGAUACUGCCACCUAGUGGUUACCUCUUUUCCCCUACUCAGGCCCCAGCUCCCUCAAACUUCCUACAGCAUGUAUACAUAAUUAUAUGUAUAUGUAAAUAAGUCUAUACAAAUUUACUUGUAUAUGUUUCAACAGAAUAUUCAUAACAUAUUUUGUAUAUAGCAGUUUGGAUAUGUAUCCAAAUGUAUAUUUGGGUUAUGUCUGUGUGUAUACACACACACAUACACACACAAACACACACACAUACACACACACACGAGAGAGAGAGAGAGAAGGAAAGAGGCACAAGGAUUGUAAAGUACAACUGAGACAACUCAGCAUUCUCUUCACUAAGGUAAUUAUAACCCUUAGUUUCUGUAUUUUCGUGUGUAUAUUCUUCUCCCUUUGAUUUCUGAUGUUUUCUUUAUAACAUAGAAUAUGAAAAAGAAUGAUCCAUUUUCAAGAAUUACUUUUACAAAAGUACUAUUGGAGAAAUCUUCAUCUUUGUUUAUGUUCUUGCUGAAGGCAUUAUUUAGGUAACAUUGAUUUCUAAAGGACUUUUUUUUCUCCAUUAUCCUCUGGAAAAAUAUUUACUGAAAAAUUUAUUAGAUAAUAGGACUGACCCUGGGCUACUGUAGCUUUCUAUUUAUUUCUCUAUCUAAGCACUGGCAUUUGUCUUGGUUUUGUGCCUGUAUUAUUUUUGCCAUUAUCGAUGUUCUCCGCUAGGCAUGCUUUUUUGUUUGUUUGUUUUUUGUAUGUUGGUAAAUAGAGGAACAUUUGAUUCUGCUUCCUAUGGCAAAAUAAAGAACUUCUUUAUAAAGAUCCCAGAAAAAAAAUAGAGCACUAGUUAAAGUUGGGUCACUUCUCAUAGAGAAAUUAUCACCAGCAAUAUUUUCCAUUGAUAUCUAGAAUAGCUAGUCCUUUAUAAACUACGUAUAAUAAUUGCAGCAGAUACUAUGAAAAUUUACUAGUCCAUUUAAAAACAAAUGGCAAACUCCAUGCAAGG